AGUGGCAAAACUGUAAUUUUGUGAAAGCGUAUUUUGAAUCUAAGUGUUUUGGACCAUGGGUUCAAAAACAGAAAAUUAGAGGGUCUCUGUAGCAAAAGUGUGAACGAAGGGGUAUCUUCUAAUCUUGUCCGUUGACAUCAGGUCAGAUGCUCUCGGUAUGGCCAGCGGCGCCCUUCAUGGUGGCGGCAUGGCCGGAGAGCCAAUGUCCUCGCCGAAGUUAGCGGUUUUGAUGCUACAGUUCACCUUUCACAAAACCAAGGACACGGUGUUGGUAUUUCUUAACGUCAUCAUUAGAUAUUACCAACAACGCCAAAAAUGCCACGUGGGUGAUUCUAUAACUACUAGAUAUUCCGCAAGCGCACAGAAUGUACCGAUGUAGCAUUUCACCGAGGAUGAGGAUUCUAAGGUAUCAUUAUUUAUUUUAUCCCCAGAGAAAGUGGACUAGGAGAUUUUAAUAAAAGGGAUGAGGGUAUCCUUAUGUCUAUUCAAUCUAGUAUCAUAAGUGGUAGUAUGGGAUAAGUGAAGUAUGAAAGUGGGAUAGAUAAGAAAGAAACGGAUAAAUGGAAGAGUGUUAGCUAGGUGGGAUGACAAUGAGUGAGUACAAGUCUCCUAUGUAUCUACCUUUACUCCUAUGGACUUAAUCCUAAUAGAUAACUUUUUGACGCAAUGGGCACGGAAGUUUCCUACCUUUUUUUUAUUUUUUUUUAUAAAUAUGGACAAAAGAAUACAAUAUGUACAGGGGUGGUACAAAGCCCUCACGACCAAAAUAAAAACUCUAGAAGAUACUAUAGCCUAUUCUCACACCAAAUUUUCAAGGGUUCAGCAACUCUCCUCUUAGCCUUGAUGCAAACUAGGCUAGGGUCCUCUUUUAGGACCAAUUUCCAUUCAACUAAGGAGAUUGCCUUAUUGUCAAAGAUAAUUCCAUUUCUGACUUUCUAGAUUGACCAGCAAGCCAAGAUGAAAAGUUCUCUGAAGAUGUGACUUCCAAACUCUGUUCUAGCUUUGAUUAGCAUAUCAAGAGGUUGGAGGGAUGUGUCCCAGUUAAUGCUUAGCAGGUUCCAACAAGCUUGGCUAAAGUUACAUUCAAAGAAUAGGUGGAAGCAUGUCUCCUCUGGACAAUGGUUGCACAACACACAAGCACAGCUAUCUAGGUGCAUGUUCUUUCUUUUGAGCAGAUUUCUGGUGCACAAUCUGUCCCUAACAGUAGCCAAGAAAAGAAUUUAUGUUUACAAGGUUUCUACUUUUCCAGAUCAACAAGAAGAUCAGUGAGGCCUCAAUUUGUCCCUGAAGAUGUUGUAGGCCUUAUUUGGAAUGUAAUUUGGACCCCAGCUAUAUUCCUAGGAGUCAUCAGCCUCUGGGUCUCCAAUCCUUACACUUAAGAGCACAUUGAGCUUAGAAAGUUGUUCUACAGCUAUUACCGAGAGGGGUAGGAAUAGAGUGACUUCAGGAUCCUUUUCCACAAAAUGCUUGAGAGACUAAUGUUUUCUCUGAAGAAGGAGAAAAGUUGUGGGAACACCUGUUCCAACACUUGCCCACACCAAUUGUCUAUCUAGAGAGUGGAAAUGUUACCAUUCCUUGGUUUACAAAGGGCAAAUUCUCUAAUUUUUGGGAAUAAUUUCAGGGCGUCUUUCCACCAGAAUGAUCCACAUGGGCUCUUCGAAUGGGGUGGGAUGAACUGAUUGUGGUAUAGUUUGGACCAAGUCAGUUGAACCUAGG
rnacentral:lncRNA from 1 species